GGCCCAGUGGUGUAGUGGUAACAUACUCCAGUUUCCCUGGAGUGAGGCAGGUUCGAAUCCUGCUUGGGCUA
rnacentral:tRNA from 1 species